AAUUACUUUAAUUAGCUAACUUCACGUUUUCAUAAAAUUUAUUUAUCACAUUUCAAUUAUUUUUAUUUACUAAUUCAUAUAGUAUUAUCAACAUAAAAUAUUGGUUCAAUAUAAUAAUUUUGAACUGAAAAAAAUGGCGGUAAAUCACUAUGACUUAGAAUUUUUAUUGGAACAAGCAAAUAAAUUAUUCAGUAGAGAUAAUUGGGCUCAUGAAAUAAUUGAUCAAACAAUUGAUUUUGUAAAUGAAAAUAAUAAAAUUGUUUAUGUUGGGUGUUCGACGGUGGUAAGAGUUCUUCUCAAAUCUGGAAGAUUUCAUGAAAAUGUAGGGUUUCAUGAAGGCGUGUCUGAGUCCACUGGGAAAGCUUUCGAGGAUGCGAGAAAAAUAUCAUACACGGAUGCCCUAUAUAGGACAUUACUAUCAUUCGAAGAAUUUGGCGAACUGAUAAUUAAAAUUGAAGAAAAAAAAAAAGAUUAGAAAAACAAAAAAAAUUAAAAAAUGAUUGGAUAAAAAAAAAUAUGGUGGAAGCUACAGUUAGUAAUAAAAUCUUAGAGGAAA